rnacentral:pre_miRNA from 1 species
CCAUUCUUCCUUGCAUUCGAUAGUACUGAAAAUAUCAUAUGGAAUGUAAAGAAGUAUGGAG